CCCAAGAAGCAAUGUAAAGUUUGAAACGAGCCGAGCGCGGUGGCUCACGCCUGUAAUCCCAGCACUUUGGGAGGCCGAGGCUGGCGAAUCAUUUGAGUAGAGACGGGGUUUCACCGUGUUAGCCGGGAUCCAUCUCCUGACUUCGUGAUCCGCCCGCUUCGGCCUCCCAAAGUGCUGAGAUUACAGACGUGAGCCACCGCGCCCUGCCUAUAUUAGGUUUUUAAAUAGCAGGAGGCAAAGCUUUUCGGUGUGAUCCUGACUUCACUUGGGGAAAAAGGGCAGACACAGGGUCUCACUGUGUUGGCCAGGCUGGAGUGCGGCAGUCUGGAACUCCUGGGCCCAAGUGAUCCUCCAAUCAGCCUCACAAAGCACUGGAAUUACAGGUAGCUCAGAGAGCUGCGCUGGAGGAGAAAAGCCAGUCCUGGCAGGAGCUCUGGUACCUGGGAAGCUGGAUGGAGAGCCUGGGCCAGAAUCCCGGACCCCUCACCUCUGCGGCCUAGCUUUGUGACCUUGGCAAAUCCAUUCUAUGCACCUCCAUUUCCUGUACAGUGGGGAUCCUUAUUUCUCUGGCACAGAUUGGUAUUUGUUCUGUAAAGCCCAGUACCACUUUAUUUUAUUUUAGUUAUUGAUUUUUUUGAGACAGGGCCUCACUCUGUUGCCAAGGCUGGAAUGCAGUGGCGAGAUCAUAGCUCACUGCAGCCUCAAACUCCUGGGCUCAGGCCAUCCUCCUGCCUCGGCCUCCUGAGUAGCUGGGACGACAGGCGUGCACCACUGCGCCUAGCUCCAGUACCAUGUUUAAACGGUGCUCAGAAAACGUGCUAAACUUGGUGGAUGGGAAUUGAAAAGAGAUUUAAUGUUUUAAAAAUCAAAGUCACUCAGCUGCAGUGCCACAUGGGAAGGAGGCCUGGAUGUGAAUGUUCCUGGGAGCUGAGAGCUCCUGUGACUGUCGCCAGUUUCCUGUGGUCUCCCACAGACUCAGGACAUCUCCCUCUGCUCCAGGACACCUCAGGACCACCAGAGGGCACUCAUCGCACCUUCACCCCUGGAAGGGAGCUGGUCCUGGGGCCAAAACCCACUGUGCCUGGGAAGCCCUUCCUGGCUUCUGCUCUCCUCAAUGUAUGACAGCCCUGAUUUACCCCCAGGGACUGUUGCCACUCGGGGUUGUAGAGUAAUAUGUAACCAGACUGGAGAACCACAGCAAUGCUCUCUCCUCUGCCCAUCACCUCCCCUUGGCCCCUCCCUCUUCAUCAGCCCCAUUUUGGAGAAGGGAGAAAGAAGGGAGAGGCAGCAGUCUCCUCCCAGGUGGGGCCGGACUCCAGGGAAGGAGAAUUUUCAGAAGUUGCUGGAGUUGCCGAAUCUGUCAGGGCCCAGGGUUCACAGAGCAGUGAUGGAGGAGAAAGGAGAGGAAGCAGAUCUAAGCACACAUGGGCAUCAAACCAGAGGAACAAAGUCACAUGCAGAGGGCUGCACAUAGACACAGGGAAACACACACACGGAGAUGCACAGAAACACGCAGACCCCAUGCAGGGACCUGCUUUCCCGCCACAGAGGAAAGCAAUCUGAUCAAACAGACCCACUGUGCACCCAGCCCUCCAUGCUUGGGGACAACACACCUACAAAAAUAUAAGAAAAAAAAGGAA
rnacentral:lncRNA from 1 species